rnacentral:rRNA from 1 species
UACAGAGGUGGCAAGCGUUGUUCGGAAUUACUGGGCGUAAAGGGCGCGUAGGCGGUCUUGUAAGUCUUGUGUGAAAUCCCUCGGCUUAACUGAGGAACUGCACGGGAUACUGCGAGACUUGAGUUCGGGAGAGGGAAGCGGAAUUCCGGGUGUAGCGGUGAAAUGCGUAGAUAUCGUAAGGAAGACCAGUGGCGAAGGCGGGUCUCUGGACAGUUCCUGACGCUGAGGCACGAAGGCCAGGGGAGCAAACGGG